CUCAGAUUGAACGCUGGCGGCAUGCUUUACACAUGCAAGUCGAACGGUAACAGGUUAAGCUGACGAGUGGCGAACGGGUGAGUAAUGCAUCGGAACGUGCCCAGUCGUGGGGGAUAACGCAGCGAAAGCUGUGCUAAUACCGCAUACGAUCUAUGGAUGAAAGCGGGGGACCGCAAGACCUCGCGCGAUUGGAGCGGCCGAUAUCAGAUUAGGUAGUUGGUAGGGUAAAGGCCUACCAAGCCAACGAUCUGUAGCUGGUCUGAGAGGACGACCAGCCACACUGAAACUGAGACACGGCCCAGACUCCUACGGGAGGCAGCAGUGGGGAAUUUUGGACAAUGGACGCAAGUCUGAUCCAGCAAUGCCGCGUGCAGGACGAAGGCCUUCGGGUUGUAAACUGCUUUUGUACAGAACGAAAAGGCUCUGGUUAAUACCUGGGGCUCAUGACGGUACUGUAAGAAUAAGCACCGGCUAACUACGUG
rnacentral:rRNA from 1 species